CUACACACAGCAAUGACCCACUUUUUUCCAAACAUAACUUUAAAGGCACAAUCUCUGAUCUAAAUAUUAAAAGGAGAAGGACACCACUAACAAUCAAAAUUUGAAGCUGCCAUCACUCUCAAACUGAUCAACAGGUUCUUUACUGUAAACAGCAGCAGCAGGACGAAACUGGUUCAGCUGCCCGUUUAUCAGCCGCUCUGAAGGUUGUAGAAACGUUAAAUGAACCUGCAGGGAGUCCAGAGAGGAGCUGCAGCACAGAGCAGAGGGGAUGAUGACUGUUCCUGCAGUGUUUCAGUGCUGAAAUGGGAUGCAGUGAGUCCAGAUGCUGGUUGUGGUCCUGUUCGGACAAACCUGAACAGCAGACUGUCGUCGACAAACAAGGAGAAGAUGAGACGGAGGCCUUUCUCGAGGACGUGAAGGAGGCUAAAAGCUUUAUUUCAGAGGAGACACCGGCUGAUGGAGGCUGGUUGGACCUUCCAUCAGUCAGAAAACCAAUACUGGAUUUUGCCCAGAAGAUGUCGGAGGAUAUCGUUGCUCAGGCUCUGCAGCUCUGCUGGGAAGUGGAGAUACGUUACAAGGAGCUGCCUUUCAUUGACAGUGACCAUGAUUACAUUAUAUGAGCUCAAGUCUUCUACUUGAAGGGAAUUUUUUGACUGAACUGUUAACUUAAAAGGCAAAAAUGUCACAUCCUGCCUUUAAUGCCGGAGGAAUGUAGUUCCUCUUCACAGAGUCUCUGUCCUCAAGUUUUUUUUGUUUGUUUGUUUUUUGGAGUUUGUGCUCAUUUCACAACACAUGUAAGUCUGUUGCAACCAGGAAGUGUAUUUUGCAAUAAA